AUGGCCUGCCUUCAUGCGCUUGUAGCUCUGCUUGCCGUUCUGGUGGCUGUAUACGCCGUUGCCGGCGCCGCCGCUCAGGCCCAAAAGGGUCAGCCGCGCCAGGAGCCGCUGACUUCCGACUACCGCGUCGUCAAACAGGCCGGACAUUCCAACCAGAGAGUGUUGGCGAUGAGCAUGAGGUGCCCCCCUCAGUGCAAGGUUGGCAAGUGCGACAAAGGUUGCCCCGCCGACAUGUGCACGGUGGUCUGCCCCAGCUGCAAGACAGUGUGCUUGUGUGACUUUUACCCUGGCAUGGUGUGCGGUGAUCCACGUUUCACCGGGGGUGACGGCAACAACUUCUACUUCCACGGAAAGAAAGAGCAGAACUUCUGCACCAUAUCUGACAGUAACCUGCACAUCAAUGCUCAUUUCAUUGGCAAGCGCAACCCGACUAUGAGCCGUGACUUCACCUGGAUCCAAGCUCUCGGCAUCAGCUUCAGCAACCACCGCCUCUAUAUAGGUGCCCGGAAGACUGUUAAAUGGGACAGCGAGGUUGAUCGCCUUGAGCUCGCCUUCGACAACAUGCCCAUUGACAUCCCUGCCGAGAUCGGCAGGCAAUGGCAGUCUGAUGUUGUAUCAGAUCUAACCGUCAUGAGGUCUGCCAUGACCAAUGGCGUGAGAGUGCAGCUCAAGGGUGUAUUUAACAUCAUGGCCAACGUGGUGCCUAUCACAAAGGAAGACUCCCGCAUCCACAACUAUGGAGUGACUGACGAUGACAGCCUUGUACAUCUUGACAUCAGUUUCAAGUUUCAUGACCUCACGGACGACGUCCAUGGCGUGCUUGGCCAGACCUAUCGCACCGACUAUGUCAACAGGUUCAAUGUAAGCGCCAGCAUGCCUGUCAUGGGUGGCACCGCCAACUACUUAUCUUCUGACAUCUUCUCCGCAGACUGCAAAGUUGCUCGGUUCGGCCGCCACGCAGGAAUCUCCAUGGUUACUGCCACGGUCAAUUAA
rnacentral:rRNA from 1 species